UUGCGGCGUGCUUAACACAUGCAAGUCGAACGGAAAGGCCCUGCUUUUGUGGGGUGCUCGAGUGGCGAACGGGUGAGUAACACGUGAGUAACCUGCCCUUGACUUUGGGAUAACUUCAGGAAACUGGGGCUAAUACCGGAUAGGAGCUCCUGCUGCAUGGUGGGGGUUGGAAAGUUUCGGCGGUUGGGGAUGGACUCGCGGCUUAUCAGCUUGUUGGUGGGGUAGUGGCUUACCAAGGCUUUGACGGGUAGCCGGCCUGAGAGGGUGACCGGCCACAUUGGGACUGAGAUAUGGCCCAGACUCCUACGGGAGGCAGCAGUGGGGAAUAUUGCACAAUGGGCGGAAGCCUGAUGCAGCAACGCCGCGUGCGGGAUGACGGCCUUCGGGUUGUAAACCGCUUUCGCCUGUGACGAAGCGUGAGUGACGGUAAUGGGUAAAGAAGCACCGGCUAACUACGUGCCAGCAGCCGCGGUGAUACGUAGGGUGCGAGCGUUGUCCGGAUUUAUUGGGCGUAAAGGGCUCGUAGGUGGUUGAUCGCGUCGGAAGUGUAGUCUUGGGGCUUAACCCUGAGCGUGCUUUCGAUACGGGUUGACUUGAGGAAGGUAGGGGAGAAUGGAAUUCCUGGUGGAGCGGUGGAAUGCGCAGAUAUCAGGAGGAACACCAGUGGCGAAGGCGGUUCUCUGGGCCUUUCCUGACGCUGAGGAGCGAAAGCGUGGGGAGCGAACAGGCUUAGAUACCCUGGUAGUCCACGCUGUAAACGGUGGGUACUAGGUGUGGGGUCCAUUCCACGGGUUCCGUGCCGUAGCUAACGCUUUAAGUACCCCGCCUGGGGAGUACGGCCGCAAGGCUAAAACUCAAAGGAAUUGACGGGGCCCCGCACAAGCGGCGGAGCAUGCGGAUUAAUUCGAUGCAACGCGUAGAACCUUACCUGGGUUUGACAUGGAUCGGGAGUGCUCAGAGAUGGGUGUGCCUCUUUUGGGGUCGGUUCACAGGUGGUGCAUGGCUGUCGUCAGCUCGUGUCGUGAGAUGUUGGGUUAAGUCCCGCAACGAGCGCAACCCUUGUUCACUGUUGCCAGCACGUUAUGGUGGGGACUCAGUGGAGACCGCCGGGGUCAACUCGGAGGAAGGUGGGGAUGACGUCAAGUCAUCAUGCCCCUUAUGUCCAGGGCUUCACGCAUGCUACAAUGGCUGGUACAGAGAGUGGCGAGCCUGUGAGGGUGAGCGAAUCUCGGAAAGCCGGUCUCAGUUCGGAUUGGGGUCUGCAACUCGACCUCAUGAAGUCGGAGUCGCUAGUAAUCGCAGAUCAGCAACGCUGCGGUGAAUACGUUCCCGGGGCUUGUACACACCGCCCGUCAAGUCAUGAAAGUUGGUAACACCCGAAGCCGGUGGCCUAACCGUUGUGGGGGAGCCGUCGAAGGUGGGACUGGUGAUUAGGACU
rnacentral:rRNA from 1 species